UACGUAGGUGGCGAGCGUUGUCCGGAUUUACUGGGCGUAAAGAGCGCGCAGGCGGUCGUGCAAGUCGCGUGUGAAAGCCCCCGGCUCAACUGGGGAGGGUCACGCGAUACUGCUCGACUCGAAGGCAGGAGAGGGAAGUGGAAUUCCCGGUGUAGUGGUGAAAUGCGCAGAUAUCAGGAGGAACACCGAUGGCGAAGGCAGGUCUCUGGGCAUUAACUGACGCUGAGGAGCGAAAGCAUGGGGAGCGAACAGG
rnacentral:rRNA from 1 species